rnacentral:rRNA from 1 species
AAACUCAAAGGAAUUGACGGGGCCCGCACAAGCGGUGGAGCAUGUGGUUAAUUCGAAGCAACGCGAAGAACCUUACCAGGUCUUGACAUCCCGAUGCUAUUUCUAGAGAUAGAAAGUUACUUCGGUACAUCGGUGACAGGUGGUGCAUGGUUGUCGUCAGCUCGUGUCGUGAGAUGUUGGGUUAAGUCCCGCAACGAGCGCAACCCCGCCGUUAGUUGCCAGCGGUUCGGCCGGGCACUCUAACGGGACUGCCCGCGAAAGCGGGAGGAAGGAGGGGACGACGUCUGGUCAGCAUGGCCCUUACGGCCUGGGCGACACACGUGCUACAAUGCCCACUACAAAGCGAUGCCACCCGGCAACGGGGAGCUAAUCGCAAAAAGGUGGGCCCAGUUCGGAUUGGGGUCUGCAACCCGACCCCAUGAAGCCGGAAUCGCUAGUAAUCGCGGAUCAGCCAUGCCGCGGUGAAUACGUUCCCGGGCCUU